rnacentral:tRNA from 1 species
AAAAAGUUAGUUAAUCAUAACAUUAAUAUGUCAUAUUAAAAUUAUCAAUAAUUGAUACUUUUUG